UACGUAGGGUGCAAGCGUUGUCCGGAAUUAUUGGGCGUAAAGAGCUCGUAGGCGGUUUGUCGCGUCUGCUGUGAAAACGCGAGGCUCAACCUCGCGCCUGCAGUGGGUACGGGCAGACUAGAGUGCGGUAGGGGAGAUUGGAAUUCCUGGUGUAGCGGUGGAAUGCGCAGGAUAUCAGGAGGAACACCGAUGGCGAAGGCAGAUCUCUGGGCCGUUACUGACGCUGAGGAGCGAAAGCGUGGGGAGCGAACG
rnacentral:rRNA from 1 species